rnacentral:rRNA from 1 species
UAAAAACCCCGACUUCGGAAGGGGUGUAUUUAUUAGAUACAAAACCAAUGCCCUUCGGGGCUCUUUGGUGAUUCAUGAUAACUAUACGAAUCGCACGGCCUUGCGCCGGCGAUGGUUCAUUCAAAUUUCUUCCCUAUCAACUUUCGAUGUUUGGGUAUUGGCCAAACAUGGUUGCAACGGGUAACGGAGGGUUAGGGCUCGACCCCGGAGAAGGAGCCUGAGAAACGGCUACUACAUCCAAGGAAGGCAGCAGGCGCGCAAAUUACCCAAUCCCGACUCGGGGAGGUAGUGACAAUAAAUACUGAUACAGGGCCCUUUCGGGCCUUGUAAUUGGAAUGAGUACAAUUUAAAUCCCUUAACGAGGAACAAUUGGAGGGCAAGUCUGGUGCCAGCAGCCGCGGUAAUUCCAGCUCCAAUAGCGUAUAUUAAAGUUGUUGUGGUUAAAAAGCUCGUAGUUGAACCUUGGGCCUGGCUGGCCGGUCCGCCUCACCGCGUGCACUGGUCCGGCCGGGCCUUUCCCUCUGUGGAACCCCCAUACCCUUCACUGGGCGUGGCGGGGAAACAGGACAUUUUACU